rfam:Schistosoma mattheei strain Denwood, Zambia genome assembly, scaffold: SMTD_scaffold0008145
AACUUUUCGAGUCCGUGCUGAGAUUUUGUCACACACCAACCCAUUAGGACUGAUCACACUUCCAAUAUAAGUGGAGUU